GAUGAACGCUGGCGGCGUGCCUAAUACAUGCAGGUCGAGCGAACGGACGAGAAGCUUGCUUUUCUGAUGUUAGCGGCGGACGGGUGAGUAACACGUGUAUAACCUACCUAUCAGACUGGGAUAACUUCGGGAAACCGGAGCUAAUACCGGAUAAUAUUCUGAACCGCAUGGUUCAAAAGUGAAAGACGGUCUUGCUGUCACUUAUAGAUGGAUCUGCGCUGCAUUAGCUAGUUGGUAAGGUAACGGCUUACCAAGGCAACGAUGCAUAGCCGACGUGAGAGGGUGGUCGGCCACACUGGAGCUGGGACACGGUCCUGACUCCUACGAGAGGGAGCAGUAGGGAAUCGUCCGCAGUAGGCGAGAGCCUGACGGAGCGGCGCCACGUGUGAGAUAGAGAUCUUCGGAGCGUAAUACUCUGUUAUUGGGGAAGAACAUAUGUGUCAGUAACUGAGCACAGCUUGACGGUACCUGGUCAGAAAGCCACGGCUAACUACGUG
rnacentral:rRNA from 1 species